UACGGAGGGGGCGAGCGUUAUUCGGAAUUAUUGGGCGUAAAGGGCGCGUAGGCGGCUGAACAAGUCAAAGGUGAAAUCCCUCGGCUCAACUGAGGAACUGCCUUUGAAACUGUUCGGCUUGAGGCCGGGAGGGGGUAGCGGAAUUCCCAGUGUAGCGGUGAAAUGCGUAGAUAUCGGGAGGAACACCAGUGGCGAAGGCGACUACCUGGCCUGUUCUUGACGCUGAGGCGCGAAAGCUGGGGGAGCAAACGGG
rnacentral:rRNA from 1 species